rnacentral:SRP_RNA from 2 species
GCCGAGCUUUGUAACACAAGCUUGUAACCCGAGUGGGGGCUUUGAGGUGCUGGAACAUUGGCCAAGAAUUAGCGGGUCGGGUUCGAGCUGGCUCUCUACUGGCCUGCCCAUUCCAAGCCAGGAGUUGAACCCACUGUGUCUUGAGCGGAGGCUUGGGUCACUGGUUUUCUAGAGAGGAGGGAACCGCGUUAGGCUGGCUUUACAGAGCAACGACUACCUCCCUCUCUUGGCAGUGGAAGGAUUACAGGUCAGUGUCACUCGGAUUCACCAUGGCCCGCUAGACUGACCCAAUAGAACCAAAACCUUU